rnacentral:lncRNA from 1 species
AUACGAAUUGCUCAUUGACUACUGAUCAAUUUUUCCCCCCCUAGGCUUCAUUUUUCUAUGAACUUUCCUCUAAAUUAAUGAAACCUUUUGCCAUUUGUCUAAAUUGCACACAUUGUUGGUUUCAUUGGGCACCCAGUUUCAUCUUCCUGAAUAAAUUUUUCCUGGAGCCUUCUGAUCUGCCCCAUUCUAGACUGAUAACCUUCUGUGCCUGACAAAUGGCUAUAACCUGGGAACUCUGUUCGCUUUUUGGUGGAGGUACCCAGGGGUGUACUCAGAGGCACUCAGCCACUGAGCCACAUCUCCAGCCCUUUUUUGUAUUUUACUUAGAGAAAGGGUCUCACUGAGUUGCUUAGUGCCUCACUGUUGCUGAGGCUGGCUUUGAACUCACAAUUCUCCUGUCUUAGCCUCCUGAGCUGCUGGGAUUAUAGCUGUGCACCACUCAUCACUGCACUCAGCUCCUUUCGCCUUUAUUGUGAGAAUUCCUUUUCCUCUUGUCUGAUGUUGGAUCUCUUGCUUUCUGUUAUCUUUUCUUCAUUUAUGCGUUUAUUUUGAUAGAGCCCUUUCUCAAUUUGGGGAAAGGUAGCAUUGAGGUAAAUGUUUUUAAGACCUUAUUGGUCUGAAAAGACUUUAUUUUAUUCAGAUAUUUGAUAAUUUGCUGAAUAUAGAGUUCUAGAUUGGAAAGCUGUUUCCUUCAGAAAAAGGCAUUGAACCAUUGCCUCUAAGUUUCAGUGUUGCUACAUGGAAAUCUGAAACCAUUCUGAUGCCUGACCUUUUGGGGAGACCUAAAUUUUUCCUCCCUUAGAAACAAGAAUCUUUUGUUCAUAGUAUCUUACGUUCCAUGUUGACACACUUUGGUGUGUUUUUAUUUUAAUUUACUGUGCUGGUCACUUGUUAAACCAGUUUAAACUUGAAACUUAUGUCCUUUAGUUCUCAGAAAUUUUGUCAAUUUUAUUGAUGAUUUCUUCCCCUUUUAUUUUCCCUCUUUCUCUAUUUGUAGGAUGAUGCUAUAUUUGAUGUUUUCUUUUUCCUCUAUAGUCAGCCAGUUUUCUCUAAAAUUGCUUUUGUUGAUUUUUGCUUGACAUAAGUUGUAUGCUCAUAUUUAAAAACAGGGUACUAACAAAUUGAUUAGAGACUCUCAAUAGAUGGAGUUUGUUGAUGCUGGGCUCUGCUGAAGGGCAAUCUAUUAGGUCAUUUAAUUGGAAAUACUUUUAUGUUCCUCUCUUUAGGUAUUUCCUAUUGAACUGGUCAUUCCUCAGCAAAGACUCUCCCAAGCUCCUAAGUGAAAAAUGAAUGACUUGCCAGUAUUCUGGCAGUCAAGUGUGGGAGAGGGCUGAGGUGAGGCCCAGAAUAUUGUGUGUGUCUCACUAUUCUCUGUGUGUUCGCUUAUUGAGGCUGGGCGCAUUUUAAAUACAGUAUAUCAGCCAAAAGUGCCCAGCUUUCUACAACCCAAACUGUUUUACUCAUUUCCAAAAGAUAAACUUUUUUUUCCCUGACACAACUGGGGAUUGAAUUUACCAGUAAACUACACCUACACUAAACUACAUGGCUCUUGUUAUUUUUUAUUUUGAUACAGGGUCUUGCUAAGUUACUGAGGCUAGCCUUGAACUUGGAAUCCUCCUGGCUCAGCCUCAAUUGUGCCCAGGUAGAAAAGAAACUUCUAAUUUGGAGAGUGAGCUGGGAAAAGGAGGCUGUUCAGCUGUGUACAAAGUUGCAGAGAGUAUCUGAUUACUUAGACUUUUAAUCAAUUCUUGUUUUGGUCUCUACCUGUUCACAUUCUACUUCCAGAGACACAUGAAGCCACCAGUUCCUGAGCCUUUAAGAAAUUCUGUGAUUCAAAUUCAGUAGCUUUUCCUACUGUUUGCUCAGAAUUCAGUUUCCUUGGGUCUACUCUGUUAUUUACUACUUGUAAUUUGUUCUCCAGCUUUUAACUUUUUGUUGAUAUUGUCUUUUCUUCUAUCGUUUCUGUUACACCUUAAAACAGACAAAAAACUUUAUUGUCAUUUAAUGGAAUUUCAGGAAGGAGAAGUAUGUACAUGUGCUGAAUCCCAUCUUUACCCAGACAGCAUGUAAUUUUUGAACCCUGUUGUUCUGUUUCAUGGUAAUCAUUUAUAUCUAUUUCUGACUUAAUUGAGAAGGUACAGUAUAUAGUAUCACGCUCUUGAAUACUGGCUUGAAAAACAGGCUGACUUGAUUUUGAGUCCUGACUCUGAUACUUAUGAUAUGAUUGGCUUUCAGCAAGUGAACCUCUAAAUUUCAUUUUAUUUAACUGUAAAUUAGGUAAUAGAAACAUCUGUCUGCUUCAAAGUAUUGUAAGAAUUAAAUGGGAAAAUGCAAGUAGGGCAGUUGGCACAAUUGUUGACAUUUGGUAAAUAUUAUUAAUUGUUAGUGUUUGGAGUAAUGUGUUUAGAAGCGAUUUGUGCUGACAUUCACUGCUUAAACAAGUUCAUUCAUGUUUCCAGUUGCUAGGAGAUAGCAUGCUGAUCCUCUAAUUGUAUACAGACUUCAAAAUUAUUAUUCAUUGUCUGAAAUCAUCCCUAACCAAUCAUUGAUGACAUUCAACAGAUGGAGAGGUUGAGAUUCUGAAAGUUUCAGUAUGGCUAAUAAAUAGCAGCUGGUCAAGGCUUAGGGGACUUUAAUGUUUGCUUAUGGUAUCCUAUCCUUAGAUGCUUUUGCGGAGAGGGGGGAAAGGUGUGAUUGUUACUCCGGAUUCCAGUGUUAUGUGGUAUGAAAAAAAUCUAAUGGUUUCGUUUUUUGACUAGUUUCUCAAAAUUCAGGCCAUACCCUCUGAGAGAUCUCAAUACUUGAAAUAGUUGGACUAUAUACAUAUAUAGCUUAGUGGGUUUUUGUUUGUUUGUUUGUUUAAUCUGUGUAGUGUAAAAUAGUAAGUAAAGAACCAUAGCAAAUUGAAUGCUCUUGAAAUGGGAACAUUGGAAGAAAAAGAGAUGGUAGAGAGGAAUGUUAAUCCCCCACAAUCAGGUUGUGGUAGAGGAAUACCACUUUAAUAGGUAGAAAUGUGGCCACUAAGUUAAGUUAAUGUCCCCACUGCUGGCAGUAGCACAGUUUUUAAAAACUGCCUUUAGGUAAAGUGCUUGUUUAGCAUAGGUGAGGCACUGGGUUCGAUUCACAUAUAAAUAAAUAAAAUAAAGGUUCAUAGACACCUAAAAAAUGAAUAAAAACUGCCUUUUUCAUUGUUCUUUGAAAUAAGUUAGCAUUACAGUUAAUAUGUUCAGUUGUUUGGGAGUCUGUAAAUUUGAACCUUCCUUUGGCACAAAGGAAGAAUACAGGAAUCUGAACAUUUUUCUCUUCC